CCUACGGGAGGCAGCAGUGGGGAAUAUUGGACAAUGGGGGAAACCCUGAUCCAGCAAUGCCGCGUGAGUGAUGAAGGCCUUCGGGUUGUAAAGCUCUUUUGUUAGGGAAGAUAAUGACGGUACCUAACGAAUAAGCACCGGCUAACUUCGUGCCAGCAGCCGCGGUAAUACGAAGGGUGCUAGCGUUGUUCGGAAUGACUGGGCGUAAAGGGAGCGUAGGCGGUUUUGUACGUUUGGUGUGAAAGUCCUGGGCUUAACCUGGGGACUGCACUGAAUACGGCAAGACUUGAGAUAUUGAGGGGAACGAUGGAAUUGUGUGUGUAGAGGUGAAACUUCGUAGAUAUACCACAAGAACACCAAUGGCGAAGGCAAUCUUCUGGCAAUC
rnacentral:rRNA from 1 species